CCCACUCUCACCUAUUUCGAAGUCCCAAUGCACCUGUCAACCGCCCCUAUUUUUUGUAAUGCACUCUCUGCAUUGUUAUCUCCUCUGAAACAUGCCAUGCUUCGAUAUUGUACCCAACAUGUUUUUGAGUUCUAGUUGCUUUGCAUUAGUAUUUUGAUAUUAUUUCCUAUUAUUUAAUUAUCCAAUUUUUAGUAGACCAUUGCUUACAUCUUAUUCUUGCUUACAUUUCCCAGCUUCAAUAAUCAAUUCGUGCCAGUUAUUUUUACAUGGUUCCUAUAUAUGAAGCUUCCAAAGUGCACUAUGCUUCUACAUUGUAAGUACAUUUUGCUAAAGUUAUUCAUGUGCCUUAUGUUACAAUUUAGUUAGUUAUUGUCCUUGUUGUCGCCAUUGGAACAUAACAUGCCCCACAUGAUACUACGUUUUUUGCUUCUUUGUUUUAGUAGUUGCUUCCAGAGUUCUACCUUCCAAAUUAUAUUUAUAAUUUGCAUGUGUCGCUCGAAUGUAAACAUUCUCUUCUUCAGUACUGCAAUGUACAUGUAGUAAAAUUGUUGCUUCUUAUCUUUGAUACUAAUGCAUCAUGCUUAACUGGUCUAUGCUUCAAGCAUAUGUGUGCAUGUUUCAGGGUUGAUCAGUGCCGACCAGAAAGGAAUAUCAGGAGGCAACUAGUACAUGCACUAACAAGCGUAGCGAUACGUCGCUCUAGUUCACAAUGAAGACAGACAAAUGCCAGAUGAAGGGAAGCAAGUCAAUAGUAUUUAAGAAACAUACAAUGUGACCUUACAAAGCACGGUAGUACUUCAACCUUAAGAAGAAAAUUUGUAGCAUAUCCGAAACAAGUUGUAUGAGCGGAUUUAGCAUGGUGAAAACUUAUGUCCGGAUAGAAGCAAAUUAUAUUUGGAGUGGAAACACUUCUGUAGUAGGUGGAAGCAAAGUUAUGUUUGUUGGAAACAUAGUAAAAAGAUAGGUGGGACUCAAAAUUUCCUUGUGAAAACAAAAACUCGGAUGUAAAUUUUUGUUACAUGGAAGCAACAAAAGAAAUGGUUUUUUCCAGCCAAAUUUCAUUUGCAAUUUAAGCAAAUUGUGUCCAGGGUGGAACCAAAA
rnacentral:lncRNA from 1 species